UACGUAGGUGGCAAGCGUUGUCCGGAAUUAUUGGGCGUAAAGCGCGCGCAGGCGGUCCUUUAAGUCUGAUGUGAAAGCCCACGGCUCAACCGUGGAGGGUCAUUGGAAACUGGGGGACUUGAGUGCAGAAGAGGAAAGUGGAAUUCCAAGUGUAGCGGUGAAAUGCGUAGAGAUUUGGAGGAACACCAGUGGCGAAGGCGACUUCUGGUCUGUAACUGACGCUGAGGCGCGAAAGCGUGGGGAGCAAACAGG
rnacentral:rRNA from 1 species